rnacentral:misc_RNA from 1 species
GAUGAAGAACGCAGCAAAAUGCGAUAAGUAAUGUGAAUUGCAGAAUUCAGUGAAUCAUCGAAUCUUUGAACGCACAUUGCGCCCGCCAGUAUUCUGGCGGGCAUGCCUGUUCGAGCGUCAUUUCAACCCUCAAGCUCAGCUUGGUGUUGGGACUCGCGGUAACCCGCGUUCCCCAAAUCGAUUGGCGGUCACGUCGAGCUUCCAUAGCGUAGUAAUCAUACACCUCGUUACUGGUAAUCGUCGCGGCCACGCCGUAAAACCCCAACUUCUGAAUGUUGACCUCGGAUCAGGUAGGAAUACCCGCUGAACUUAAGCAUAUCAAUAAGCGGAGA